rnacentral:rRNA from 1 species
UACAUGUGGGGCAAGCGUUGUUCGGAAUUACUGGGCAUAAAGGGUGCGUAGGCGGCUUGAUAAGUCAGUGGUGAAAUCGUCCGGCCCAACCGGACACGUGCCAAUGAUACUGUCGAGCUUGAGUGCGUGAGGGGUGGGGGGAACGAGCAGUGUAGCGGUGAAAUGCGUAGAUAUUGCUCAGAAGGCCAAAGCCGAAGGGACCCCACUGGUACGCAACUGACGCUGAGGCACGAAAGCGUGGGGAGCAAACAGG